UUUUCUGUUCAUCUUAAAAACACAAAACCCUCUUUUGUUAAAAUUCGGCGCUGCACAAAAUCCUGGCUUUUAUAUUUUCCAACAAAAUACCACUUCGCAACCCUGGAUUUUCACGAAGCGUUUCAUUCGGGUCGUAGUUUUGCAACUUCGGGCCAUUCGGUGUUGUAUGCCAUAUUGGCUGCCAUAUUGUUCACACUGUCAUCGCCAUAUUGAACACCCUGUCAACUAUCUGUCAACCCUAAGAUAUCUCACAUGUAUUCUUCCACAAAUGAGACUACCUUCUAAAAAUUAUUGUAUCAUGCUUAUACCAUUACUUCAUCACCUUUUCAAUGAUUUUUUAAGCUAAUUUAAAAUGGAUUCUGAAGAAGCCAUUUUCCAAAAAUUAUGUUCGCAUGUGGAAUCAAGCCACUGGAGAGCAAAUGACGGUACUCCUUUUUUUCUUAAAUAUAACUUUCACUGCAAUAUUAACUUUUUUCAGAGAUUAAAAUUCGCAAGCGUCAAUUUUCAGUGGAAUGUCCCCAUGACGGACGCCCUCCACCGAAAUAUUCAGCCCUUUCCGUAGAUUUGCCGUUACCACAAAGUAGCCACGCAGCAAUAAUGGCUAAAUUAGAUGAAGACCAAUUAUAAUCGAAACUGGAGCUGAAAUACAAGGCGCCCUCUCCGAUAAGAUGCCUGAACGUGGCGAGUUCCAAGCCCAAAGCAAGCUGUUGCAAGAGUGCAGAGUUUGAUGGAUUUCGCCGACCUAAACGGCGUUGAUGGAUGAACCGACCCGAACGGGGCUUAGUAGUCGCUA